rnacentral:rRNA from 1 species
CCCUUAGAUGUUCUGGGCCGCACGCGCGCUACACUGAUGCAUUCAACAAGCCUAGCCUUGACCGAGAGGUCCGGGUAAUCUUUGAAACUGCAUCGUGAUGGGGCUAGAUUAUUGCAAUUAUUAAUCUUCAACGAGGAAUGCCUAGUAAGCGUGAUUCAUCAAAUCGCGUUGAUUACGUCCCUGCCCUUUGUACACACCGCCCGUCGCUCCUACCGAUUGAAUGUGUUGGUGAGGAGCUCGGAUUGGCAGCAGUUGGUGGUUCGCCACCGGCUAUUGCUGAGAAGUUCUCCAAACCGCCCCAUUUAGAGGAAGGAGAAGUCGUAACA